AUCAUGGCUCAGGACGAACGCUGGCGGCGUGCUUAACACAUGCAAGUCGAACGAUGAAGCCCUUCGGGGUGGAUUAGUGGCGAACGGGUGAGUAACACGUGGGCAAUCUGCCCUUCACUCUGGGACAAGCCCUGGAAACGGGGUCUAAUACCGGAUACCACUCCUGCCCGCAUGGGUGGGGGUUGAAAGCUCCGGCGGUGAAGGAUGAGCCCGCGGCCUAUCAGCUUGUUGGUGGGGUAAUGGCCCACCAAGGCGACGACGGGUAGCCGGCCUGAGAGGGCGACCGGCCACACUGGGACUGAGACACGGCCCAGACUCCUACGGGAGGCAGCAGUGGGGAAUAUUGCACAAUGGGCGAAAGCCUGAUGCAGCGACGCCGCGUGAGGGAUGACGGCCUUCGGGUUGUAAACCUCUUUCAGCAG
rnacentral:rRNA from 1 species